AAACUUAAAAGGUAAAAAAUUUAAUUUUUUUUUUGGAAAAACUAAUAAUGAAUGAAUUAAUGGCUAAACAAUUUUAUUAAUUAUAUCUCUUGAACAUUAAGGUUACCAAAUAUUGAUCUAUAAAAAAAAACAAUUCUUAGUUGUGGUAUAAAUGUUAAUUAUAAAGAUGUCUGAUAGGCUUUUCUACAAUACAUAAUUUAAAAAAAAAAGAUCUUUAUUA
rnacentral:lncRNA from 1 species